rnacentral:rRNA from 1 species
UACGUAGGGUGCGAGCGUUAAUCGGAAUUACUGGGCGUAAAGCGUGUGUAGGUGGUUCGUUAAGUCAGAUGUGAAAUCCCUGGGCUCAACCUAGGAAUUGCAUUUGAAACUGAUGAGCUAGAGUACGGAAGAGGCGAGUGGAAUUCCCGGUGUAGCGGUGAAAUGCGCAGAUAUCAGGAGGAACACCGGUGGCGAAGGCGGGUCUCUGGGACGGUACUGACGCUGAGACGCGAAAGCGUGGGGAGCGAACAGG